rnacentral:rRNA from 1 species
GCACCACAAGGGGUGAAGCCUGCGGUUCAAUUGGAGUCAACGCCGGGAAUCUUACCGGGAGCGACAGCAGAUUGAAGGUCAAGCUGAAGACUGUGCCAGACAUAGCUGAGAGGAGGUGCAUGGCCGUCGCCAGCUCGUGCCGUGAGGCGUCCUGUUAAGUCAGGCAACGAGCGAGACCCCUACUUCUAAUUGCUACCAUACAUCUCAAGGUGUUUGGAGCUAUUAUAGAAGAGACUGCUCGUCCUCUAAGAGCNGAAGAAAGAAGGGGCACACGGCAGGUCAUAUAUGCCCCGAAACUCCCGGUCCACACGCGGUCUGCAAUGGUAANGACAAUGGGUUCCCACCUCUAAAGAGAGAGGCAAUCCUCAAACCUUACCCCAGUUGUGACUGAGGGCUGUAACCCGCCCUCACGAAUCUGGAAUCCCUAGUAACCGCGUGUCACCAUCGCGCGGUGAAUACGUCCCUGCUCCUUGCACACACCGCCCGUCGAUUCACCGAAGUUGGACUAAUGACGAGUGGCGGUCUUGUUGGCGCUAUCNAAUUAUUANUUCGGCAACGGGGGGAG